rnacentral:rRNA from 1 species
UGCAUAUCAAAAAGCGGAGGAAAAGAAACCAACAGGGAUUGCCUUAGUAACGGCGAGUGAAGCGGCAAAAGCUCAAAUUUGAAAUCUGGCACCUUCGGUGUCCGAGUUGUAAUUUGAAGAAGGUAACUUUGGAGUUGGCUCUUGUCUAUGUUCCUUGGAACAGGACGUCACAGAGGGUGAGAAUCCCGUGCGAUGAGAUGCCCAAUUCUAUGUAAAGUGCUUUCGAAGAGUCGAGUUGUUUGGGAAUGCAGCUCUAAGUGGGUGGUAAAUUCCAUCUAAAGCUAAAUAUUGGCGAGAGACCGAUAGCGAACAAGUACAGUGAUGGAAAGAUGAAAAGAACUUUGAAAAGAGAGUGAAAAAGUACGUGAAAUUGUUGAAAGGGAAGGGCUUGAGAUCAGACUUGGUAUUUUGCGAUCCUUUCCUUCUUGGUUGGGUUCCUCGCAGCUUACUGGGCCAGCAUCGGUUUGGAUGGUAGGAUAAUGACUAAGGAAUGUGGCUCUACUUCGGUGGAGUGUUAUAGCCUUGGUUGAUACUGCCUGUCUAGACCGAGGACUGCGUCUUUUGACUAGGAUGUUGGCAUAAUGAUCUUAAGCCACCCGUCUUGAAACCACG